rnacentral:rRNA from 1 species
UAGGGAAUAUUGGGCAAUGGCCGAGAGGCUGACCCAGCCAUGCCGCGUGCAGGAAGAAGGCCUUCUGGGUUGUAAACUGCUUUUAUCUGGGAAGAAAACGCUCCUGCGGGGGUAACUGACGGUACCAGAUGAAUAAGCACCGGCUAACUCCGUGCCAGCAGCCGCGGUAAUACGGAGGGUGCAAGCGUUGUCCGGAUUUAUUGGGUUUAAAGGGUGCGUAGGCGGCCCGUUAAGUCAGUGGUGAAAUCCCAGGGCUCAACCCUGGAACUGCCAUUGAUACUGACGGGCUUGAGUUCGGUUAAGGCGGGCGGAACUGGUGGUGUAGCGGUGAAAUGCAUAGAUACCACCAAGAACCCCGAUUGCGUAGGCAGCUCGCUGAGCCGAAACUGACGCUGAGGCACGAAAGCGUGGGGAGCGAACAGGAUUAGAUACCCUGGUAGUCCACGCCGUAAACGAUGAGUACUCGAUGUUAGCGAUAUACUGUUAGCGUCCAAGCG